GAACGUCCGGAAACGGACGCUACUACCGCAUACGUCCUACGGGAGAAAGCAGGGGACCUUCGGGCCUUGCGCUAUCAGAUGAGCCUACGUCGGAUCAGCUGGUUGGUGGGGUAAUGGCUCACCAAGGCGACGAUCCGUCACUGGUCUCAGAGGACGAUCAGUCACACUGGAACCGAGACACGGUCCAGACUCCUACGGGAGGCAGCAGUGGGGAAUAUUGGACAAUGGGCGAAAGCCCGAUCCAGCCAUGCCGCGUGUGUGGAGAAGGUCUUCGGAUUGUAAAGCACUUCAAGUUGGGAGGAAGGGUACUUACCUCAUACGUCAGUAUUUUCACGUUACCGACAGAACAAGCACCGGCCAACUCUGUGCCAGCAGCCGCGGUCAUACAGAGGGUGCAAGCGUCAAUCGGAAUUACUGGGCGGAAAGCGCGCGUAGGUGGUUCGUCAAGUUGGAUGGGAAAUCCCCGGGCUCAACCUGGGAACUGCAUCCAAAACUGGCGAGCAAGAGUAUGGUCGAGGGUGGUGGAAUUUCCUGUGUACCGGUCAAAUGCGCAGAUAUAGGAAGGAACACCAGUGGCGAAGGCGACCACCUGGACAGAUACUUUACACUGAGGUGCGAAAGCGUGGGGAGCAAACAGGAUUAGAUACCCUGGUGGUCCACGCCGUACACGAUGUCAACUACCCGUUGGGAGCCUUGAGCUCUCAGUGGCGCAGCAAACGCAUCAAGUUGACCGCCUGGGGAGUACGGCCGCAAGGUCAAAACUCAAAUCAAUCGACGGGGGCCCGCACAAGCGGUGGAGCAUGUGGUUCAAUUCGAAGCAACGCGAAGAACCUUACCAGGCCUCGACAUCCAAUGGACUUUCCAGAGAUGGAUUGGUGCCUUCGGGAACAUUCAGACAGGUGCUGCAUGGCUGUCGUCAGCUCGUGUCGUCAGAUGUUGGGUCAAGUCCCGGAACGAGCGCAACCCUUGUCCUCAGUUACCAGCACGUUAUGGUGGGCACUCGAAGGAGACUGCCGGCGACAAACCGGAGGAAGGUGGGGAAGACGUCAAGUCAUCAUGGCCCUUACGGCCUGGGCUACACACGUGCUACAAUGGUCGGUACAGAGGGUUGCCAAGCCGCGAGGUGGAGCUAAUCCCAUAAAACCGAUCGUAGUCCGGAUCGCAGUCUGCAACUCGACUGCGUGAAGUCGGAAUCGCUAGUAAUCGCGAAUCAGAAUGUCGCGGUGAAUACGUUCCCGGGCCUUGUACACACCGCCCGUCACACCAUGGGAG
rnacentral:rRNA from 1 species